rnacentral:rRNA from 1 species
GACGAACGCUGGCGGCGUGCUUAACACAUGCAAGUCGAACGAUGAAGCCGGAGCUUGCUCUGGUGAAUUAGUGGCGAACGGGUGAGUAACACGUGAGUAACCUGCCCUUGACUCUGGGAUAACUGCUAGAAAUGGUAGCUAAUACCGGAUACGACCCUCGGCGGCAUCGCCAGGGGGUGGAAAGAAUUUCGGUCACGGAUGGACUCGCGGCCUAUCAGCUAGUUGGUGAGGUAACGGCUCACCAAGGCGACGACGGGUAGCCGGCCUGAGAGGGUGACCGGCCACACUGGGACUGAGACACGGCCCAGACACCUACGUGUGGCUGCAGUCGAGAAUCUUCGGCAAUGGACGAAAGUCUGACCGAGCGACGCCGCGUGCGGGAUGAAGGCCCUCGGGUUGUAAACCGCGAAAGUAGGGAGGAAGGCUUCGUGAAGAACGAGGCUUGACCGAUCUACAGUAAGGACGGGCUAAGUACGUGCCAGCCGCCGCCGUAA